UACACGCUGUGACUAGCAUAUCAAUAAGCGGAGGAAAAGAAACUAACAAGGAUUCCCCUAGUAACGGCGAGUGAAGCGGGAAGAGCUCAAAUUUGAAAUCUUAAAGGGUUUCCCUUUACGAAUUGUAGUUUAAAGAAGUGUUUUCUGUUGAGGUUUUGGUAAAAGUUCUUUGGAAUAGGACAUCAUAGAGGGUGAGAAUCCCGUAUUUGACCUUUACUUUCAACUUUGUGAUACACUUUCAAAGAGUCGGAUUGUUUGGGAAUGCAGUCCAAAAUGGGUGGUAAAUUUCAUCUAAAGCUAAAUAUUGGCGAGAGACCGAUAGCGAACAAGUACCGUGAGGGAAAGAUGAAAAGAACUUUGAAAAGAGAGUUAAACAGUACGUGAAAUUGUCGAAAGGGAAGCGUUUGACACCAGUGUUGUUUUUCUGAAAAUCAAUUAAAGAACUGUUUAUGCUAAGCUGUUUAGACUUUAUCAGCUAUCUGUUUAGUUUUGAGCUUUUCUUUAAUGCACUUUUCAGUUAACAAGUCAACAUCAAUUUCUUUUGCUGUAAAAAAGCUUGAGGAGGGUGGCUUGAGAUUCGUCUUAAGUGUUUAUAGCCUCUUGCCUAUGCAGUCGGAGAGAUUGAGGUCUGCAGCGUAGAUCCUUCGGGGCUAAAUGCAUUUGUGCUAAGUUAUAGCAUUUUAUAGACAACUUGUUGACUAUGAUUUGUCUUGUAGCUUACUCGCUUAUGUUAUUUUACCUACGCUUAGGAUGUUGAAGAUGUAGCACAUCAU
rnacentral:rRNA from 1 species